rnacentral:rRNA from 1 species
AUUCCAGCUCCAAUAGCGUAUAUUAAAGUUGUUGCAGUUAAAAAGCUCGUAGUUGGAUUUUUGGGGCCGGAUUAGUGUUUGUGCGGUGAAAGCCGUGUCUUGCGCUAGCGGGCUCAUUCCUCCUGAAGAGCACAUCUGGCCUUAACUGGUCUGGGUGAGUCAUGCGCUUCAGGUCGUUUACUUUGAGCAAAUUAGAGUGUUCAAAGCAGGCAUUUGCCUUGAAUACCUUAGCAUGGAAUAACAGAAUAGGACUUGGUUUCUGUUUUGUUGGUUUCUAGAAGCCGAGUAAUGAUUAAUAGGAACAGUUGGGGCCGUUCAUAUUUCAUUGUCAGAGGUGAAAUUCUUAGAUUUAUGGAAGACGAACUACUGCGAAAGCAUUUACCAAGGAUGUUUUCAUUA